AUCACUGCCAACCUAUAUAGGGUAAAUCAUGGUCCCAUUUGGUCCCAUUUUGUAAAAUGGGAUCAAAUGGGACCAGGAUCACUAAUUUAUUAGUAAAACAUGAUCUGGGACUAGAUUUAUAAUAUAAACAGUGUAAAGUGACUAAUUUGCUAAACACCAAAUGGGACCAGAAUCACUAAUUUAUUAGUAAAACAUGAUCUGGGAC
rnacentral:sRNA from 2 species